ensembl:lncRNA
AGGGUGACACAAUAAAAGGGACACACUGGGCACAGCACCACCACCCCAACAAGUUCCUCUUGUUCCCCCUAAGGAGCCAAACAGGAAUUGUUGCCACAGGUCACCAGGUCAACGAGCUACAGGAAAGGUUUGCUUAGAAGGAGUUUAGGUGCGACUUCUUUAAAUUUGCUGAAAUUGUUGUAGUAAUGAUUUCAGGCCGCGAGUUGACAAAGGACCUUGGCUCUGCGGCGGCGCCCCUCCCGCCCCGUGGACCACCUGACCCCUCGGCACCCAUUCCGGCCCGGGCUCCCCACCUCCUCCUCCGCCCUCCGCGCCCUGGACACACAGGGAUCGGACGCUCCCCGGGGUGCCGCGAGGGGCAGCGCUGGAUUCUGCCUCCUCCUGGCAGCUGUGGAGAAAUGUCAGGGGCCGACUAGACAGAAGGCAUGCCGUUUUGAAACAGCUUUCAACAGUCACUAGCUUUGACUUACACUUCUGGCCAAGUCAGUCACCAGGACCCAUUUCCAUCCCGCCUCCUGUCUGAAACAACCAAAACAAACUCAAAACAUGUGAGACAAUUGUUUUCAUGACCCUGGACAUCAGGCCGUGGAAGACACUAAUCCCCGAGAGACAGAAAAAUGAGGUUGAGCCCAUGUCUGGGCCAAGUCACUACCUUGAGGGACUGCCCAGACCACAGAGCAGGAAGGGGACCCGGAUGGAGCCCAGCAGAAUCCUUGAGCUGACAGCAUAGUGGCUGGAGUUGGACAACUGAGAAUAGAGGACCCAGAGGUCCUGCUCUAGCAUCGCGCCAAACGCUGGUCAACACAGGUGUACAGAUGCCGCUCAACGUGGGAAAGGGUUAGAGGGACCUGCGCAACCCCGGCACAGCUGAAAAGAGUGCUGACAGGGGCAGGAGAACAGUUGUUAACUGCAUUCUGUAUGUCUAAAAGGUUAUGUAGGGGCCUGGAGUAAAGCACAUGCUUAGCAUGUGUGAGGCUUUGUGGGUUCAAUCCCCAGCAUCCCCCACCCAUGAAGGACAUGGGAGAUGUAUUAAUUAGCUGUCCUGUUGCUGAACCAAUAUUCUACACUUGCAAUUUAAAGGAGGAGAGGUUUAAUUUAGCCUAUGGUUUGGGAGAUUCAGUCCAUGGUCCGCUGGCUCCAAAGCUGGAACAUCAUUGUGGAAGGGUAUGGCGGAGCAAAGCUGCUCAAUUCAUGGUGGUUGGGAAGCAGAGCCAGGGAACAGCACUGGAGAGGAACAGGGGGGCACUAUGUAUGGUGCCCAUGGCCACACCUCCAUGACCCACCCAGGCACACCUAGGAGCUGUUCUAUCCUGCUGGUGUUUCUUCUUCUUCUUUUUUUUUUUGGUACUGGGGAUCGAAUUCCAGACCUUGCACUUGUGAGGCAGGCAGCAGAACCACUGAGAGCUAAAUCCCCGGCCCACUGCUGGUGUUUCUUAAUCUGAUGAUGCUGAUGUUUCAGGAUGAGAUCACUGAAGACAUUACAAAGUUCAAGUUGAACUUCUAGAGAUGAAAACAAUGCCUGGGGUGGGUGUGGUGGCACAUCCCAGUGCUCAGGAGGCUGAGACAGGAGGAUUGCUGUGAGUUCUAGGCCAGCCUGGGCUACAAAGUGAGUUCAAGGCCUGCCUGAACUACACAGUGAGACCCUGUCUCAAAGAUAAAUAAAUAAAUAAAAUGAAAAGAACAUCAAUGAUUUGGAAUUGGCUAUGCUGGUUACUGAGAAGAACCUGUCUGUGAGUUACAGGACAGGGCUAAUCAGCCAUGCAUUUACAUGAUCCUUUUGAGACUGCAGACACACCGGGAUGGGGGUUUCUGGGGAUGUCCAAUGAUUCCCAGAAGUCCCCAGUCAUUGUCCUGGGCCUGUGGUCAACUGGAUGUCUCGAGAGGCAGAGCCCACCUGGCUGAGACCCCAUGCAGACAGAGACAUCCUUUCCUGGGACAGAAGCAUCCCUGGCUGUGCAGAUCCCAGAGCUGGGACAGCAGAACUGAGAUGAUGUUCAGAGACCCCAGCCACCAGCCAGGCCUUUACAGAUGGCCGGUCUGCAUCCCUGCAUCAGCGUACCACCUCCAGCCACCUGAGUGGAAGCAUUUCCUGUCUUCCUCUAACUUUCCAGUGCAAGUUUUCUUCCUGCAAAAGUGUGCUUUGGUUUUAAUCUCCCGAUCUCCUAAAUCAAGGACUCAAAGCAGCCAAGGACAACCCUACCCUACUUCACAGAUCUUGUUAUGCACUGAACUGCACCCCAAGGCUCCUGUGCUGAUCCCAGUGUGCCUGCUUGGCGAUGAAUGAUGCUAAAUCAGGUCAUAAGGGUGGGGCCCUAUCCACUGAAAUCUCAGCACCGAAUUGGCUGGCGCCUGGGUUGUGGCCAUCCCAUCUCCAGAUCUGCAAGAGAUCAAUGUCAGUGUGCACCCGCCCGGCUCUGCUGAUUUGUCUCAGCAUCUGACCUAAGAUAGAUCUCACCCUAGUUUAGCUGAGCGCAUUGCAGUGACCCCAUAAAGCCACAAAGGGUCACCCCCCAAGGUGGGGCUCUGGGGAAACAGGCUGGCAGUUCUGGGAAGGCACUGGAUUGCACAACUUGGACCUGGUGUGCAGCCAGACCAGGAGCCGGCCUUCUCACAACCUCUCUGUCCUCGCCAGCUAUGAACCACAAACUUCAUCCUGUCCACACAACAGGCAAGCAUUAAGUAUGAAAAGGACCAGGCGCAGUGGUACAUGCCUGUUAUCUCAGCACUCUGGGAGGCUGAGGCAGGAGGAUCACAGGUUCAAGCCCAGCCAGGGCAACUUAGAGUUAGCAAGACUCUGUCUCAAAAAAUGAAGAAAGGUCUCACAUUCUUCCUGGGGGACCCCACACCCAGUGUGGCAUCUGUGCCCCUCAGGCUCAACUCCUAAGGAUGCGUCUUUGGAAGAAAAUUAGGUUGCGUGAUGCAUCAUGGACAGACAGGGGGCACGUGAAGGCAUCUGUCACCACCCGGCAAGCUCACCAAGGUCAUGGACAAGUCCCCUGGCCAGUGUGCAAAGCACUGUUGUCAGGUGGCAUGGAGUGCAUCAGACGGAGGCAGAGGCACAACAGGAACCAACUGAAGUCAUGUUUUGUUGUUGUUGUUGUUGUUUUGUGGUACUGGGGAUCAAACUCAGGACCUUUCACUUUCAAGGCAGGUGCAGCACCACUGAGCUAAAUCCCUGGCCCUGAAGUCAUGGUUUUGUAAUGGUUUUUGAUUAUCAUGUUGCUCAGCUGCAAAGAGCAGAACACCCAAGAGUGGCAAAAUAAACUUGGGCUCAUUUCUCUACCAUAACAAGACAAGUGGCCACUGAUGCUGUUUUAGCAGCUCCAGGAGCAUGGAGCUUGCAUCUCCCUGCUUGCUUGCCUUUAACCUCAUGAUUACAAGAAGGUUGCCUGAACUCCUGGCAUCACACCUACAUUCAAAACAGGAAGACAGAGGAAGUUUCCUUCACCUCCUUUGACACCCCCUAGCCUGACAGUCCUACACAAUCCAGUUACUGGAUGGAGGGUCUUGUGGGCUUCUUUCUAGGUUCUUGGUGUCCUGAGCAAAGAAUUGUGCAAGACACAUGGAAAAGGCAGUGAAAAUGUACUUUUAUUGAAGGUGGAAAAGAGGUAAGCUCUGUAGGGUAAGAAUGGGCUGGUGAAAAGGCUCACAGUGGCCAGAGGAUAAGGGAAAGGGGGCUUUUAUAUUCAAAGUUCCUGGGCUGGCAUUGGGACAAUCUUCCUGCCAAAAACUCACUUGACCUGGUGCUAGAUGUAGUUAAAGCCCCCGUGGAAAGACUCAUUUGGUUUCAUGCCAUAUGUGAAUGAAGGAUCAGAAACAGCAGUUUUUGACUGGCUGUGCCCACAUGCAAAUAAGGAUUGAAUGGAGCAGCCUCUGAUUGGUCCUGAGAACAGCACCAGAUUCUGAUGAAGGAUUGAAAACAGCACUUUCCUGAUUGGUGGUCUCAGGUUGGGGGCAGGUCCCUUGUGGGGUCUCAAUCCUAAACCUUACUCAAGUGAGUCACCCAGUCUCGAAGCCAGGCAGAGCCUCUAUACUCCCCCACCUAAAAGUGCAGCCCCAGGUCCCAAGGCAGCUUGGAUAUGAAGCAGGGCAACCAUGGCAGUGCGUGUAUAUAUAUUUGUGUGUGUGUGUGUGUGUGUAUAUGUAUAUUUAUUUAUUUAUUUAUUUAUUUAUUUAUUUAUUUAUUUAUUUAUUUUGGUACCAGAGAUGGAACUUGGGACCUUGGGCUUUGAGGCAGGUGGCAGAAUCACUGAGCUAAAUCCCGGCUGGCCCGGCAGGUCUCUACUAGCACUGCCUAGCCUGCCACACACUCCCACAACCUGCUCCAGGGAGCACCUCCACCCCCACCAGGGUCAGAAAGAGAGGCUGCAGCUGCCUCUGUCCCAUUGCUUCAGACAGACAGCAGGGAAGCCCAGAAGCUGUUUAUAAACCUUCAGGGAGGAGGAGGCUUCCCUAGCAACCAGGUGUGGGGAAGGGCUGGGCCCAGGUGCCCCAGGCUCUGGGCUCGCAAGUGGCCUUGCUCAGUCUCCCUGGGAGUUCAGCUCUGCAAUCAAUGGAUUUGGUGGGAGCCACCAAGAUCAAUAAGAAGGUGACAAAUGACAGGGGAAGAGUUGUAGGGCAGGUGUCUGGGCAGUUGUCGGGCAGUAAGACCUGCAAGUUUCCCUAGGAAAAUCCAGAGUGGGUCUUCUGUAUCCAGACCACCUGCUAACAGCCCUGAGCAUCUCCCCGGAAGGGGAGCUCAAUUUUUAGGUUCAAUAGUCUGGAUUGUGGCACACAUCUGUAAUCCCAACAUAGGAGGCUGAGUGAGGCAAGAGGAUCGCUGCAAAUUCAAGGCCAGCCUGAACUACACAGUGAAAUCCUGUCUCAAAAAUAAAUAAAUAAUAAAUAAAUAAUAAAAUGUGUAUUCAGCAAUAUCCACAUAACAUAAAAUUCACUGUCUGCAUCAGGCACUGUGCGGGGGUACCAGGUACAUUCACACUGCUAUGUGACUGUCACCACCACCCAACUCCAGAAUUUGAUCUUCCCCAACUAAAACUCCAGAGUUUAGCUGGGUGUGGUGCCCCACGCCUGUAGUCCCAGAACUCAGGAGGCUGAGGUGGGAGGAUAGCUGGAAGUUCUAGGCCAGCCUUGGCUACAAAGUGAGUUCAAGUUCAGCCUGAACUACAUAUCAAGACCUUGUCUCAAAAAAAAAAAAAACAAAAACGAAACCAAAAAAAACCCUCUAGUUUGUUAUUUCUUUUUUUUUUUUUUUUUUGGUACCGGGGAUCAAAUUCAGGUCCUUGCACUUGCACAGCAGGUGGCGAAACCACUGAGCUAAAUCCCCGGCCCAUUCAUUUAUUUCUUUGCAGUGCCCGGGAUGGAACCCAGGGCCUUGCACAUACUAGGCAAGCACUCUACCACUGAGCUACACGUGAUUUUAAAAACUCAUUCAGCCAGGUAUAGUGGCCCAGGCCUGUAAUUCCAGCACUCAGGAGGCUGAGGCAGGAGGAUCUGUGUGAGUUUAAGGCCAGCCUGAACUACAUAGUGAGGCCCCAUCUCAAAAAACCAAUUAACAACAACAAUGAUAAAAAACAAAACAACAAAAACCCCUCUUUUUCAACAAGUUUUGAUUGAACAUCUCUGAUGGCUUCUUGAGGGGUCAACAAUACAACUGGGCAUAGUCCUCUUCUGAAGCAUCCUGCCCUGAGGGAUAAGGAAGCCAUAGCCUGAGGUCACAGCAGGAAAGGGGACAGGGGACCCCAGUAGCUGUGCACCUGGAGGUCCAGAAAUGGGAGGGAUGAACAGGCCUGGCUGUUGAGAAACAUCUGCCUGGGCUUAAAGGCCACGUAGUCCCUGGAGUCAGACUGGGCUGAUAAACAGCAUUUGUGGGUCCCCAAUGGGCAGAGUUCCGGCAGGGCACAGUGACUCAGGGCUAAGGACACAAGGACACAGCUUUUGAAAACUCCAGCUUUCCAAACCAGAGUGGAGACAGAAAUAUGUGAAACACGCAGCUCUAAGCCGCCCUCACCCUCGGUCCACUGACCCCCUGGAUGGACUUCAGAUAAAUUACAAGCCUGCCAUGAGCCCUGUGGUGAGAAUCUUGUUUUUCUUCUUUCAG